UACAGAGGUGGCAAGCGUUGUUCGGAAUUACUGGGCGUAAAGGGCGCGUAGGCGGUUCGUUAAGUCCUGUGUGAAAUCCCCCCGGCUCAACUGGGGAACUGCACAGGAAACUAGCGGGCUUGAGUUCGGGGAGAGGGAAGCGGAAUUCCGGGUGUAGCGGUGAAAUGCGUAGAUAUCCGGAGGAACACCGGUGGCGAAGGCGGGCUUCCUGG
rnacentral:rRNA from 1 species